UUUUAGUUUUUUUUCUUUUUUUUUUUCUUUUUUUUUUUUCUUUUUUUUUUUACAUUGAAUAUGAGCUGGAGAAUAGUGUUUCUGGUUCUGAUAGAUUGGAUACUAAGGUGGUUAUAAUCUGAUUGGUGUAUUGGAAGAAAUCCUUAUGCACAAUUCUUUAGAAACUUAAUGGAUAUCGAUGACUUCAUAGUUUAUGGGAUUGUAUCAUGUUCUGAUUCUGGUUUGGAUUAGCAUGUAUCACAGAACUUUCCUUCACAGCCAUGUAUGCUUUGGUCAUUUAUGAGUUUCUGAAAGAAUUUACCAUUGCCACAAAGGAACGGAACGGCAACAUACCAAUGCACAUUUUUGUUGAUCAACAUUAUGAGGGGUUGCGAUUAUUCUUCCAUGUUUUGUGUGAUGUGGAAAUACAGUGCGUGUGAAGCAAAAGUGUCGUUCUUACGAAGAUGAUGAUGAUGGCCAUUGAACUGGGAAUGCUGAAUUCAUUCAUGCCAAAUAUGAGAGAUGAUGGAGAACCAACCUCAUACAAAAGAGAUUGGUUUAAGAAUAUUGCUUUGCUUUGGAGAUUGGUGUCUCAAUUAUGUCUUCCCUUUUGAAGCAAAUGUUAUUUAGUUGAACUAUAUUUAUUGAAAAUAAUGCUAAAAUGCUGACAAUCCCCUUUUAUUGUACCCAAACUGUAACUUGGGAGAGAUAGAUCAGAUAUUUUUGAUGUAGUAAUCUUGUUCAGUCUUUCAA